UACGUAGGGUGCAAGCGUUGUCCGGAAUUAUUGGGCGUAAAGAGCUCGUAGGCGGUUUGUCGCGUCGAAUGUGAAAACCCGGGGCUCAACCCCGGGCCUGCAUUCGAUACGGGCAGACUAGAGUUCGGUAGGGGAGUCUGGAAUUCCUGGUGUAGCGGUGAAAUGCGCAGAUGUCAGGAGGAACACCGGUGGCGAAGGCGGGACUCUGGGCCGAUACUGACGCUGAGGAGCGAAAGCGUGGGGAGCAAACAGG
rnacentral:rRNA from 1 species